rnacentral:rRNA from 1 species
GUAGGUGGCAAGCGUUGUCCGGAAUUAUUGGGCGUAAAGCGCGCGCAGGCGGUCCUUUAAGUCUGAUGUGAAAGCCCACGGCUCAACCGUGGAGGGUCAUUGGAAACUGGGGGACUUGAGUACAGAAGAGGAAAGCGGAAUUCCAAGUGUAGCGGUGAAAUGCGUAGAGAUUUGGAGGAACACCAGUGGCGAAGGCGGCUUUCUGGUCUGUAACUGACGCUGAGGCGCGAAAGCGUGGGGAGCAAACAGGAUUAGAUACCCUGGUAGUCCACGCCGUAAACGAUGGGUGCUAAGUGUUAGGGGGUUUCCCGCCCCCCUUAGUGCUGCAGCUAACGCAUUAAGCACUCCGCCUGGGGGAGUACGGCCGCAAGGCUG